CUUUACAUAAUAAUUCUGUGUUCUAUGUGCAAUUUUAAAAAACAAACAUAAAAACGCAUGGCCAUAAUUUACAGCAAUUAAUUAAAAAACAGAAAAAGCCAAGAUUUAAAAAUCCAGACACAUCCCUUGUCUAGUCACAUCCCUUGUCAAGUCUGUUUGAUAUUUUGUAUUUACAAAAGAAAACCAGUGUAUCCUAAAAUUAUAU